AAGUCGUAACAAGGUUUCCGUAGGUGAACCUGCGGAAGGAUCAUUAAUGAAACAAUACUUUGCAGCUUCAAGUUGUUGCUGGCCUUUAAAACGGCAUGUGCACACUUGUAGUUGUGAAUAUUCAUCCACCUGUGCACUUCUGUAAGUCUGGAAAACUCUCACAAAGUUUACUUUGUGGAUAGAAAGGUUGCCUUUUGGCUCCUUUUGACUUCCAGGCUUAUGUAUUCAUAUACUCUUUGUAUGUCUUGAAUGUCUUGUUUAUUGGACUUUUGUCCUACAAAACUAUAUACAACUUUCAACAACGGAUCUCUUGGCUCUC
rnacentral:misc_RNA from 1 species